rnacentral:rRNA from 1 species
UACGUAGGGGGCAAGCGUUGUCCGGAUUUAUUGGGCGUAAAGAGCGUGUAGGCGGCCUGAAAGGUCAGCUGUGAAAACUCGAGGCUCAACCUCGAGACGUCGGUUGAAACCAUCUGGCUAGAGUCCGGAAGAGGAGUGUGGAAUUCCAGGUGUAGUAGUGAAAUGCGUAGAUAUCUGGAAGAACACCAAUGGCGAAGGCAAUGUUCUGGCUCGUUUCUGACGCUCAGGUGCGAAAGCCAGGGGAGCGAACGGG